AUUGAACGCUGGCGGCAGGCCUAACACAUGCAAGUCGAGCGGAGCGGCGGACGGGUGAGUAAUGCCUAGGAAUCUGCCUGGUAGUGGGGGAUAACGUCCGGAACCGGGCGCUAAUACCGCAUACUAUCCAAUUAGCCUAGGGCGGAUUAGCUAGUUGGGGGGUUAAAGGCCUACCACGGCGACGAUCCGUAACUGGUCUGAGAGGAUGAUCAGUCACACUGGAAAUGAGACACGGUGAAGACUCCUACGGGAGUGAGCAGGGGGGAAUAUUGGACAAGGGGUGAAAGCCUGAUCCAGCCAUGCCGCGUGUGGGAAGAAGGUCUUCGGAUUGUAAAGCACUUUAAGUUGGGAGGCGUUACCAACAGAAUAAGCACCGGCUAACUUCGUGCCAGCAGCCGCGGUAAUAC
rnacentral:rRNA from 1 species